UUGAGAGGGGGUGGGGUAAGUAGACAUCUUUUCACAUAAAAAAAGAGCGAAGUAAAUGAAGGGGUGUGGUUUAUAGGAGAGAUAGAGAAGCCAGCUUUGCAGAGUCAUAUCUCUUCCUUUGAAGCAGGAAGGAAGAUUGUCUACCCGUCCCUCUGAUGGACUUGGUUCCACGACACAGCAGGCCACUUAGAUUCUGGGCGAAUUAGCCUUGGACAUCAGCUCUGAGCUCAUUAUUUUUUUUUAUAUUAUAUUAAGCAGUCAGACUAGCACUUAUUUCUUAGUCUUACAGUUGAACUACAUUCAUUUAGUCAUUCAACAAAUGUCCGUCGAAUGUGUGACAUGUUCCAAAAUCUUGGAUGACACAAUUCCAGAACAGGUGGGUACAAAGCUGAACACAAGACAAUUCUGUUGCCAUGGAGCUAAGAGUGUUGUUGGGGAAAGGCAGCUAUGCAAAUGGAAAAUUGCAGUGUUGUGUGAUAGCGACCUUGCUCUGGGUAAGUGCUGGGCUCUGGAUGAGCCAUGAAGCCAAAGGACUUCCAGAAGAAGAAACAAAUGAGGCCAAAGGCACAUGAGCUAGGAAGAGACUGGACUUGGAUCUCAGAUCCACCUGAGUUGAGGCAAAGCUAGCGUGGACGCCUUCCAUCCUGAUUUUCUGGCAGUUUCAACAUGACUGCCACCUCAUAAUCCAAGACAGCAGGUAAGACCAAGCCUGCGUCCCAGCCUGUGGAAGGGAAGACGCAUCAAGGGAGGCACCAGCUUUCUCUAAGUUACACACAGAUUGUUGCUUGUAGCUUUUGACUAGAAAUUAGGCACUUAGUGAGAGUCAGCAGCAAGUGAGUCUGAGAAGUAAUGAGAAUUCAUGGAGCCAACUAUUCAUGGAGGCUGUUUCUAAGGAAGGAAGAUAAGGCACCCGAAGAGCCAUGGUCUCUGUCAUCGGAAUCCCUCUAAGAACCGAGGUGAGGUAAAUUCCUCUCAGAGCUGGACAUAUAAUUAAUCAUCCCAGUUAGGAUGCCUGGUGAGACCAAAAGUACCAAAACGGCUGAGCAGGUAUGAGCUGACUUGGAGUGGUUCCAGGACCUCCCUGUGAAUGGUGGAGUAUAAAGUCACCUCAAUAUAGAGGUCUCCUCUGUGAGUGGGUCGGUGAAGGUUGUUCCUACUGUAAACCCAGGGAAGAUGGCUUAGCCUUCCUCCUGGGGUACAUGUAUGCUCACCCUACACCCAACCCCAGCACAGAGCUGAAUGCUCUUUUUCAGAAGUACCAGUAUCUUCGCCUUAGGCACAUGUCUUCAAAGGCCAGCGGCACUGUCUACUGACUGCUUUGUACAUGGUAACUGUUUAACUUAUCCCCGAGUCUUUCUGCAGCCUUCGGAGUCCUGCAAGGAAGGAAGUAUGACCAUGUGCAACUGUGGUGAGCCCAUGGAGGCUUAGGGAGAUCAGGAGAUCUGCCCAAAGUCACUCCACAAAUAUCAGGAUCUGGUGCCCGCUGAGCUCUGCUUUGGUCACAGUUCUCUCAGACUCUGUCCCCAGUUUGGGGGGACACUCACUGCUAGCCUGUCUUCCCCAGGGUAUGAGCUAGGCUGCCUCAUCACUUGGGAAACCAUCUUGCACUUUCCAGGGGAUGCUCCUCUGAGUUAAAUCAAAUCUCCUCGGGGCUCCACACCCUCCCCUCUCCCCUGUACCAUUCUUCACGAGCCAUCAGGGUUUCUAUUCCUGUGCAGCCUCCUAGAUUUAUCCUUAGGUUCAUCGUGGACCUCAACCAACUGGACCAUCUCUGUGGCCUUCCCCAGGGGAGAAAUCAAGCAUGAGACAUGAACAAGGACCAAGAAUACAGGAGCAGAGAGGUUUGAUGGUGGAACGGGGAGGGGGGAGGCUUUAAGUUCUGCAGUGCUCUAGGGGUAAGACAGAGGAUCUGAGGAAUUAGCCUCAAAGAUGUGAAGGGGGAAGGGGAGAUAACCAGGGAUAUUUAGAGUGUUUUAGCAGAGUAAGAUCCCUAUAUAGGCUGGAGAGCUCGUACACAGAGUUGCAUCAGCUCACCAUGCACUCUAACAUCCUCCCCGAUGCGUGGGGAUGAGUGACUGAAGGGGACCUUAGCAUCUAUCCAGCCCUGUCGCUAUGCUACGCCAAGCACACAAUCGUAGUCUCAGCACUUGAGUGGCUGAGACAGGAAGAUUACAAGUUUAAGGCCAGUCUUGGGAUACAUAGUGACGCCUGUCAACAAAGUCAAACAAAAUACAACACAAAUUCAUAUCGUCUGAGACAUGUUUAUUAAUGCUCUUUAACUCAGUCAUCUAAAAACUAGUCAGUCAUCUGAUAAAGCAGCAAAACAUGGAAUAAAACAAUGAUGACAUUAAAACGCACCCCCCCCUCACGUAUGCAGCUGCUGAGGGCUUUUGUCAGCUAGCAGGACUGACUACACAUAAACAGCCCCUUGAGCUUAAUUGAAAAAUAGGCAUCGAGGGGACAUAGCUUGUGUGCUUCCUCCCUCUACCUCUAGAUGGCAGCAUAGAGCAGUGGUUAAGACUGGCCUUCUGGCCUUCAAAAAGAGUUGAGUGACCCAAAGCAUGCUGUUCAGUUUCUCCACGCAUAAAGCAAAGAGAAUGAUUAAAACCUACCUCAUUGGGUUAAGACUUUCUUGAAAGGUCUAGAUCAUAAUCAGUGCAUCCUCCCCGUCCACUCUCCCUCCUCCUCCUGUCGCUGCUAUUAUUAUUAUUAUUAUUAUUAUUAUUAUUAUUAUUAUUAUUACUAUUAUUACAUUCCACCACUCUGCUGUGAUGGGGAGCCACUCCUCUAUGUGUUCUCUAUGGUUACUUCCUAUGCCAUGAGAGGGAGCAACUUCACAUUGGGCUAGAAGCUGCGGUCACCCAGCCCUCCUCAGAAGAGAGGGAUGCAGCUUUUAGUUUUGAUCCUGUGACUCCCUAAGGCAGUGAAAGGCUAACACGGCCUGCUGCUGGCUGGUUCUGUGCUUAUUGAUCAGCAUCACAGGGUUGGGACUGGGGGUACUGUUCUAGAAGCACUCACUUUGAUUCCUCAAAUAAAUCCUCCCCCCGGGUCCUGCUAGGAAACUAAUUGAGGGUUGAUUCUGAUGAAUAAAUGCCUGGUCGCCGCCUUGAGAAAUGGACCACGCCGGCAGAUGGCUGGGGCUUGAGAAACGGUCACGGCCUUCCGAGGGGCCCAUCAAUAAUAGAUCGGCUCCAGCCCUGGGAGAGGGAAGCGUUUCUGCGGCAGGUAUGAAUUAUGGAUGCCGUUUAGGGUAAUGCGGAUCUAUCUCAGAGGUUCCGCUCAGUUUAUGUGCUAGUAAAAGCCGGCAAUUUGCCCGUGUUCCAGCUAUAAUUUGCGCUACAUUAAGGGACCCUCCUUUCCAUAAUGGAUGUGCGGUUGGACGCAAGCGCAGUAGGACCCAAAGGGCAAGGCAUGCUGGGCCGGUAAGAAGGCCAGGUGAAGGCCUGGGAACCAAUCACGUGGUAAGGGCCUCUUGGCUGCAGGAACAGAAGGAUAUUUUAGAUACCAAGGUCUGGGGAAGAAACCACACUCAAUCCCCAGUCCUCCCGUUGACUCGCCCAUCUUCAGAUGCACUUGAUGUAGGUCUUAAGGAAAGCCCAAAAGGAAACCUAUGACCUGCUGGGUCAGAAAAAUAACAGUUCUGGAAGGAAGCCAUAGACAGGUGGUCAAGAAUAGAUUCUAGAACUUUAGUUCUGCCUUCUCCAUUUGCUUGCUGUGUGACCUUUUACAAAGUAUGCCCCCUCUUCAUGCAUGGAUGUGUCGUCCUUUAAAUGGCACAAGGCUGACCAUUCUGUGCCGAAGUCAGACAGUUUGUCAGAGCCAACUGAUAAUCAGAAAAUCCAAGGGCUGGCUGUUAAAGAUGGCCAUCAUUAAAAAUUAAAUUUUAUAAACUUGCAAUUAAAAUUAAAGGCAAUAGAUACGACAGACUCAUCAAUUCCUAAUGAGUCUCCUCCAGUUUACUCUCUGUGCUCGUAGGACGAUUUGUGUCAUUUUCUUCUAUGUGGUGACGGCGAUACAUAAUAUACCUCCUUCCUCAUGACAACGUCGUCUUCAUAAGACGGGUGAUGUGGGAUUCCUCCACCUCGAGGCCUGUGAUGUCAUGUUGGUAGCUUGCCAUUGGCCAUGGCAGCAACAUUUACACCAAAGUUCUGCACCACUCUAGACAGAAUUAUUGUUAUGUCUCCAUCUUCUAUCCACAAACCAACGUCCCCAAGCCCUGUGCAACGUGGCACGUGAUUUCAAAGCAACAGUAACCAUGUCACCUGGGAGGAUUCACACAAUUGCCGGCUCCAUUCUGACCAAAUGAACCAGGAUCUGUGUUUUAACAAGAUCCCAAGUGAUUCGUGUGCAUGUUAGAAGGUUAAAGUCUCUCACCCAGGAAGCCACAGAAGGAACUGAAGACAGGCACUGGAGGCAGCAAUCCCAGUGCAACAGUGCCCACUGGCUGGCUCCCAGGCUCAUGCUCAUGUCUCUGAUACAGCCCUGGCCGGCCUGCCUAAGGCGUGGUACUACUCACAGCGAGCUGGGUCCUUCUGCACUGGUUUACAAUGAAGAGAGCGCCCCUCAGCACAGGCCGAAUCCGAUCAGUUCUUCAACCGAGAUUCCUUUCUCUAAGAUGUUUCAAGUUGACUGCCAAGCUCAGCCAUCACAGUGGCUUAUUGUGUGCAAUGGUGGCGCCCAUUUCAAGAUUAUACCCUCUUGCUUCAGCUACCUCCUCGCUGCCUCCUAGUCAUUGGUCAUUUUUUCUUCAAGAUGUGGGAAGUUAUGUGCUUAAGUAUGCACAGCAAUUGUUUCUGAGCUUCUUUGUGUCUUCUAUCCUUUCUCAGUGGAUGGGUUCAUCAUCUGUUUUUUUUUUUUUUAAAUAACAACAAUAUCACAAAUUUUCUGGGUGUUAGGUGCCAGUGUAAGGAAUGUAAAAUGGAUUAUUUUAACUGCCACGAGGGCUACAAAAUUAGCAUUGGCAUAUUCUACACACAAGGUGAGUUCUGUUCAGCGACGGAAUGACUGACACGUGUCCAUCAGCAGAGCUGGAAUUUGAGCCUGCGUUAGCCUGAUCUCUGAGUUUCAGCUUCUGUUUGUUUUCCUGGGAAGCUGUGCACAUUGUGCACUAUGCUCACUCUCUGUCUGUGUAACCAGGAGACGGGAAGAAGCCUCCACUCAAUCCACAGCUCGCUGAAUGUGUUUCUCCCAGAGACCUAGAAGCCAUGUUGUUGAAUCCUCUUCCAGCUUGGUCCUUCCUGCUGGCCAUGCCCCGUCGUGGUUCCGCAUGCUCCUGGUCUCUAUCAAAUUACCGGUGCUUCUCAUUGACUUGACAUCGUUACUUGACAGCUUAAAAUUUAAGCCUGAAGUGCUUAUGGGGUUCUGUCUUGCUUUUCCUUUAGGCUUCACAUUGUCCCCCAGUGGUCACAUUUAACCUGGGUGUUCCAGUAAUCAACCUCUCGACAAACGACUAAUCUGACUAAUCUUGGUGUUAUCUUUUACCUCAUGUUUCUUAGCCAAGUAGUAAAACCAUCUACAAUCUCUGGACUUCAGAUAACAAAUUCUGUUCACUUCUUCCAAGUUGUACUAACAAAUAUUCCUCAGGAAAGACUCCUAUUGUGGCUCAGUAUUCUAAUGGACUUCUGUAGUAAUUAUUUUCUUUCAUUUAAAAAAUCCAUUAAAUUUUAAAUUAUAGAUGUGUGUUUAUGUGUGUGUGUGUUUGUGUGUGUGUCUCUAUACGUACUUGAGUGUUGGUGCCUAUUGGAGGCCAGAAGCAGAAGUUGAAUCCUGGGAGUUAGAGGUACAAGUGGUUGUGACCAGCUGCGAUGGGUGCUGGAAACAGGCCUAGGGUCCUCUAGAAGGGUGGGAUAUAAUGUUAAAGACUCAGCCAUCUCUUCAAGCCCUGCAAUAAUUUCUUAGAGUUCUGCCUACUCUCAGUUUCUGUAUGACUGCCCAUCUCCACAAAGUAGACCCAGAUAUGCUAUUUUUACCACUGCAAACUUAAUAAAUACCAGAUUUAUUGGACAACCACUCCAUGACCUUCUGAUAUUGCCACAACUGGCAUAUCCACAUUUCUUUAAUUAUUAAAACUAAUGCGAUAAUUACCAGCACAGAGGAAUGCUCUUCCAUUUAAGGGUUUAUCUUAUAACUAUUCAGCAUGUGAAAUUUCUGCUUAAUGAGUUGAUAUGGACGAUCAUGGCAAGUAAUAAUAUGUAAACCGUUUUGUGUCCCCAGCAUGAGAGUGUUAAUCUUUUAUGCCUAUGUAGAUUUAAUUUUCUAAUAAUUCAUUAAAAUGUGUGUGUUUGUCAGUGACACAGAGUGCUACUUUUAUCUCUGUGUUCUGUAAAUCAGGCUUAAAUCAUUAGGUGACUCUACUCUCACGACAUCUCCAACACAUAUGCCUGUGAGUCUUCACCUGAGCUCGCCAGACACCAUUCCAAGCAGUUCCGAUGGUCAAACUUACUCAAUCCUGGGGACGAAAGUCUUUUAGCAGAGAAGAGAGCAGAGGAAUGGCGGGAGGUAACAGGGUCACCCAGCUGGUAAGCACCACAGGCAUGCUGACAAGGGGGCUAUAGAAUGGUGCUAACAGCUAUGUGCACAGUUCUAGUUGUGUUAUUAGUGUGCUUAGUGUAUGUGUAUGAGGGUGUCUGCAUAUCUGUGUGCACACGCAUGAGGCCAGAGGUCGGUGCUUGUGCCUUUCUCAAUUGUUUUCCAUCUCAUUGUUUUAAGGCAGGGCCUUUCGCUGACCUCAGAGCUUGAUGAUUCGGCUAUGGUGCCUAUCCCUGCCUCUCCUGUGCUAGGGUUACAAGUGAGCUUCUUCACAUUCAGCUUUUUACUAUGGCGCUGAGGGUCUGAACUCAGGUCUCCGUGCUUGUAUGACACCAAUUUACUGACUGAGACAUCUUCCCAGCCCUGCAAGACUAAAGUUUUGAACACUCCACCGGGGCCAUCUUUUCUUAUGACUUCAGCUAAUUUAAAUAACAUAGGAAUCAUUUGGCCUCUUCAAAGGGUUGAGAGAUGUGGAUGUGAAUCUCUGUAGGUAAGUUGCUCUUGGCCUCUGCAGUCUUCCACAGUCAGCCUUCUCUUGUGGGUUGUCUUGUCACAUCCUCCUUCCUCCUUCAGACUUCUUUCCAACUGUUGCCCUGGGCUCGCACAUAACUGCUCCAUUAUCUUGCAGCUAAAAGUCACUGUUAAUGAGGAAUCUGAUGCUAACUGGAUUGUGGUUCCCUCCCUUCCAUCUUUUGGUUCCUUCCUGUGUUCUUUCCGGAGCUAAUUAUUGCUCUAGCUAACCACCAUGAGUUUUGUGUGUACCGUAACACAAAUGUCUGACCGCCAGAGGUCUGUGGUGAGUGCUGCUUGCUCCUUGUGAGACCUCUGGGCAGACUCCGUUCCUUGGAUUUGUUCUGUUCCACACACUGAGCUUCUCUGACCCAGCAACAGCAUCAAAGACAGAACUCACACUCUGCCACGAAGUCCUUCCAUCAGUUCCCAAGGCCCAGAGUAACCCAAAGUGGGUCUGUUGUUCAGAAGCCACGAAGUUAUUUGCUUAAACAACCUGCAAAUCACAUGGUCUAUUUAAAAAUGUCAACAAUUCUAAGUAGAGGGACUCCUUGAAACUCUAGUCCUGCUUGGAUGAACAUCAGUAUCUUGGGUUUAGAUUCAGUAAAAAUAAAAAUAAAAAAAUACCUGUGGCUAUAGAUUCAUGUCAGUCUUUCGUAUGUUUUUAAUAACCAUUGUCCAAACACCAAUAAUGAAAAUAUAAACCCUUCUUGGUGCAAAAAAGACCAAUACCUUAUUUUAAAUCCAGCUUCCCCCAAGUAGGAUUUUACUUUACAAGUCUAAAGGUAACUGUCCCUUUUUGCUUGGAAAUAUGUCUGACUUGGGGGAAUGAGAGGUUGAGAGAUGCACCAGCUGGUGCCACUUCUUCAUGUUUCAAAAUCACGCCUGCAUUCAUUGAAAACAGUGAGUGCCAUAGGGCAGUGUGUGUGUGUUUGUGUGUGUGUGUGUGUGUGUGUGCGCAUGCACUGUAUGUGCACAUUGUAUAUGUGCCUCCUUGCACUGGGUGCGUGCUGGGCUUGACUGGCUGGGAGUUAUGGAUGCUUUAGGAGGGGGACCUGGUGAGAAGAAGUUACAUCAUUAAUGGGGGUGUUGAGAUAAUGGCCUCCUCCUUUCUGUGUUUUUGCUUUCACAAUAGUGAGGUGGGGAUCUUUGCCUCACAGUGGGCUCCACACCAGCAUGGUCUCUCUCACUGCAUCGUGCUUCACAACAGCAGGGACAAGUAAUCAUGGCUGGAACCCUCUGAAACCCUGAGGCAAAAUACAUCGCAGUCUUUUAGGGUGUUUGCUUCAGUUAUUUUGCUACCAGACCAGAAAGCUGACUGAUAAAUGGGGUUAAAGAAAGUACUGAUCCUGGACCUCUACAUGCCUGUAAUUGGGCAGGACUAUUCCAUUCUUCUGGGUCUACGAUGGCCUCCCUUGAAUUCCCUUGGGCAGCAAAAGCCUUUCUGCCCAAGCUUUUGUAUGGAAACGUUUCCAUUGCCUGAACAGUGAUUUUUUCUCCUACUGGUUUGGUAUCUUCCUAAGGACACUCUUCCCAGUGGUCUUUUAGUGCCCGUUAGUGUCCAAAUAUUUGAUUCUCUUGGGACCCUGCACUUCAUUUUCCCAGCAUGCAGCUCAGUUAUAAUUAAGAAUCAUGACUUUCUGUGUUUUAACUUUUGGAAUAAAUUUUUAAAAAAAUAUAAUAUUUUUAUUAAUCCUCUGAGAAUUUUAUGCAUUCACACAAUGCAUUUUGAUCACAUCUGUCUUCCCCCAACUCCUCCAAGAUAGACACAUUCCUUCUACAUCCUCUCCCGACUUCACAUUUUCUUGUUUUUUUAUAACUUGCCAAGCUGAACUAAUUCCUAUAUGAACAGAGUCCAUUCUUCUGUGUUACUAGAUCUCUACCCCUUGGCACACAGUGCACGUCACCACAGCCCAACAGCUCAUUGGUAGGGAAGGAAUGCGGUUACCUGUUUGUUAGUCACACCACUAGUGGCGGAUACUUCAUCGGCUUCCCUGUGCUUCCCCCUCCCCUUUUCUCAAGUGGGGGUAAUAAUAACCCUGGUCAUAGAGCUGUCAUGAGAGUCCAAUGAAAUAUGCAUAAGGCUUUUGCAAAAUAUCUUGCGUAUAGGAAGUGCAGUGGUAAAUAAAUCUUACCAAUGAGGAUGACAAUGACAAACACAAUAUUUCUUUUUAUUUAUGAAGCUAAGUAGGGGUUAUCAAGAAGAAAUUUUAAUAUAUAUUAAAGCCUUGACAUCAAGAGAGAGAGAAAAGGUUUAAGAAAGGACAAUACUACACAUCCUAGAGUGUGCAUGAGUGUCUUGAGUGUCUCCACAGUGUCCCAAGGAGGCUUUGAGGGAGAUGCAAGUUCAGUCUAUUUGGGGUAGGUCUGGAAGGGUCCAUAAUAAUAAGUGAAGCCAGAGAGUAAUUCUGGACUAGGUGAUGAGGGAAAGAACAGUCUAAAGAAGGGAUAUUUGGGCCAAGACAUUCAUGAUAGGAGGCAAGGGGUCUUGGGAAAGUCCCCAGGGAACCAGAAGUACAGUGGGCUUGAGGGGUUUGAAAACCAGAUUUGGUUUCCCUGAGGAACUGCAAAGAGACCAGAGUGGUAGGGCAGACUGAGCCAAGGGGAAAUGAUGGGUCUUUACAUCAUAUCAAGGAGUUGUGGUCUUAAGUGGAGGUGCUGGAUGGUGGUAAGAAGGCAGCAGUAUAGUCUGAAUUUAAAGGGGUAUUCUAGAUGUACUAUGUGGAGAUCCUACUGUAAGGAGACUAUUGGACAUGUGAGCAGAGUGUGGUAGGUAGAGUAGGAUUGUCAGAGGGAGAAAAUGGCACUAGAACUGGUUGGUAACGCACAUGCAUUUUUUAAGGAACAGAGAAAUUCCAGGGUAUCAGGAGCCUGGUGGGUUUAGAGAGCAAUGCCUUUGCAAAAGCGGCUGGGUCCCACAGUUAGAUAGGCUUGGACUUUGUCAUGGAGAAAAGAUGAUGACUGUGGACUGGUAUAAAAGAAGGAUCGAGUCUCAGCUGUUCAUGGUCCAACCAGAAAAUCAUACACCUUUCUAGGUAUUUCAAACAGAUAAUACAGGGAAUUGGCCACAUAGGUGAAAGAGGAGACAAGAAACCAACCAUGAGUGGUGAAGCAGCUUCUAGUUAUGGAUGGCAGGAACCACUGUUUUGUCUGGGGUAAGAGGUGAGAUGCUAGCGAGGAGGUGCUUGGUACUGAGGAAAUUCUAACAUUAGGACUGUUCAGUAGGGACUUGAUCCAUUGUUAGGGUUUUGGUCAGGAAUGUUAUUCACCACAUGCCAGAGGCUCAUGUGUUUUGAAAUGCUUUGUCCCUAAAGCAACAGUGCUUAAAGAUCUUUCUAGUAGAAACUAGAACCACGGUAGGACAAGGAGCUAGUGGGAACUAGAUCCAUGGUGGGGUCCCUCCAGCUAAUCUCAAUCCAUGGAAGAGAUGCUGUAGCUCCCAGAGUCCCUGACUACAGCAGGGAGACUUGGAAGAAACAGCCCGACUUCUCUCUGUCUCAGUCUACCUCUCCUGGCAAUCAUUAUUCUUGGUCAAACUUGAUCAGAAUCCAGCUAGCAGUGAGCCUGAGAAAUCUGCCUUACAGAGAAGGUCAAGACAGGGCUGUGCACAGACAGGGCAGACCUGGCUCACAAGCCAGUCUUCUACUGAACUCACAGAAGCAGCGGUAUUCAUGAAGGAUUAGUAGACACCAGAGAAACUGGCUAGAGAUUCAGCACAGGACUGAAGAGGAUCCAUGGAUGAAGGUCUUAAACUAAAGCUGUUUGAAGACAGAGGGGUCUUUGAAGUAGCAGGGAUUAUGGGGCUGCCAUAUGUGCUAACCAGGAAAAGGACCGAGUCUCAGGGACACUCCUUUAACUAGCAGCAGCAGAGUUAGGUAACAGCUAGAAAUAUGUUAGAUGAGCUACAGAUAAGAACACUGCUUUAUAAUGGAAAUAUGGGAAGGAAGACAUAUAAAUUUAUAUGGAGCAGACUUGGUUAUUGGAAAGAAAGGAAGGUCUGGGUAGCCCAUAAAGGGAUUGCUUCUUCUGAAUUGGUUGGUGCUAUAAGCGAGGUGUGGUGGUACUUAGGGCUGUGUGACAGAAUUUGACAGGAUUUUACUAUGUAGUCAAGAAUUUAAAAUGCUGUUGGUCCUUGGCUUAUUAAGGGAUGAUCUGCCUGCUCCAUGGCUGUCUUCCCUUCUGUGCUCCAACCUUUGUGGUUAAAUCUUAGAAUCCCUUUCUUACCAAGUAUUUGAACUAGAAUAGUGGGAGGUCGGAGGGAAUGUGGAUUCAGAAGACCGUCCCUCAAGCCUAGGCCAGCUCUUGAAUACAGAGUGAGGGGAAGAUAUUAGGCGGCUCAUGUUGUGUCCAGUGUCAGAUUCUAGGCAAGGGGGAACAGUGACAGUGGGGAACUGACUUCACCUUUCUGAGGUUCUUUGCACAGGUCUCUGUCACGGCUCGAUAUGGAGUGUCCUCCAGACUCUCGUUGGUGCCCAGAACAGCAGUGUUUAGAGGGGGAGCCAUUGAGAGAUAGUUGAUCAUGAGAGCUUUUACUUCAUCAAUGUAUUAGUCCAGCUUAAUGGGAUACCAUAAGGUAGAGCCUGGCUUGAUGGAAUAGGUCAUUGGAUGAGGGUGGAAGGAACAUGGCUAUGACUUUGAAGGCUAUAUUUUGUCUCCAAAUCCUUCUCCCAAACCCCCCUCUCCUUCUUAUCCUUCAUGAGGUAAGCAGCCCUCUUACCUAUCUUAGUUUAAAUGGCCUGGUUGCUACCUAUUUGGGGUACUGAUAAAAGAAUGAACUGAGAUAACACAAUACAGAAAUAACAUAGAAUAAUCAUUUAUUCUUAAAUAUUACCAGAACAGGCUUGCUUUUGUAGGAAAAUUUGGCCCAUACUACCUUGCCACUAAUGUGAACUUCAUGAUAACUAUUAAUAUUUAAGGUAAUGUUAAUAUAAUAAUGGGCCUAGGUGAUCAUGAGAGUGAUGGUGAGAGUGAUGGUGAGAAUGAUGGUGAGAGUGAUGGUGAGAGUUAUCGUGAGAGUGAUGGUGAGAGUGAUGGUGAGAGUGAUGGUGAGAGUGAUGGUGAGAGUGAUGGUGAGAGUGAUGGUGAGAGUGAUGGUGAGAGUGAUGGUGAGAGUGAUGGUGAGAGUGAUGGUGAGAGUGAUGGUGAGAGUGAUGGUGAGAGUCAUGAAGCAUUGAUGUUUAAUGGACUUGAAUUCAAAUACAGUCACAUUUCUUGACAUCUUGGACUCAGAGCAUGUUAAACUCUUUGGGCCACAGUCUAUGUGUUGGUUUAUGUCCAGCAAUUCCUAUUUGAGUGUUGGGGAGACUCAGGUAUAUUUAAGUCUGUCUUAUGAAUGCCACACCGAUGGGUAGUAACUAUGAAGUCCCAGUCUCUAGAAAACCUCUGGGGCUAAUGGAAGAAGGGCACACAGUGUUUGAUCCUGAAUCACUGAGGCCUUGUUUUGGUCUUUCACAUUCUCAAAUUGAGUUUUGCAUCAUUAAGGGAGUUGAGAGAGAUUCUCAGGUUUCCUGGGCUUAGGAGCCCAUCCCAACCUCUCAUGAUGUCAGAUGGGGCCAUAACACAUAUUUCCAAAGUAGGUAGAGUACUAAGGACCAGGUGAGAACAUAUGCUUUUGGGGACAGCAGUUGUCCUCUGAGGACAUGGAUUUGACAUGAUGAGAGCAUUCUGAGUUUACUCACAAACACCGAGUGGCUUGGGGAUCAGCUCAGCCCCAAGGUUUUACAUGGACGAGUCUGAGCACCUUAGAGGUGGCAUCCUAUGCACAAAGAGCCACUAUUCCUCUGCUAAUUUGAGCAUAGGUGAGUGAAGCCAAUUAUCUUUGCCUACACUUCUUUGUGUAUUUGCAAGUUAUUGAUUACCUAUUUUAUGCCACUUAUACCCAAAUGUACUAUGAUAAGGCAGCCAAGUAGAGGUUCCCCAGGCCUCAUUCUAACCAGAAACUCAGCGAGGACAUGGAAUGUCUCCAAAGGCUUGCGUGUUAAAGGCUUAGUCACAGCUUGGCACCAUAUUGGGAGGAGUGGUAAACCUUAAGAUGUGGAGCCCACUGGGAGAUUUCGGGUCAUUGGAGAUGUGUCCUUAUAGGGGAGAGUGAAAUGCCUCUCCCUUUCUCUUCCUUUCCUGCUGAGUUCCAGCGUAAUGUGCGAGGUUUUGUUCUACUACACAGUUACUUUCCUCAUUGCUGUGUUAAAAUACUCCGACAAAAACAAUUUAAUAAAGAAACUAUUUGGGGCUUACACUUCCAGGGCACCACUCAUUGUGGCGAGGAAGGCGUGGAGGCAGGGGCAUGAAGCUGCUGGUCACAUUGUAUAUCCACAGUCGGGAAGCAGAAGGAGACAGACUACUCCUCAGCUCACUUUCUUCUUUUUAUUCAGUCCUGGACCCAGCUCAGGAAAUAGUUGGUGCUUGCCAGGAUAUGUUGGGUCUUCCUACAUCAGUUAACUUAAUCAAAAAAGCCUGCACGCACAUGCCCACAGACUCCUUACCUAGACGAUUCUAGGUCCUGUUGGCAUGUCAGUCAACGGGAACCAUCACGUGCUCCAUGACAUCCCGCCACAGGAUUCAAAGGAACAGGCACCAACUGGCUCUGGCCUGAAUCCUCCACAACUGCGAAGCAAAGUAAACCUUUCUCUUUUUAAGUUGACCAUCUCAGGUAUUUUGCUACAAUAACGGAAAGCUGGCUGACACAUCGAAAACAAACAGGACAAUGUAACCGGGGGUGGUGGGACAUAUCUCACAGAAAAAUAAAAUAGAGACAAGGAGCUUGUAUGCAAGAUAGUGGACCAGGAGGCCUUUCUGAGAAGUCCUAGCCCAUACCUGAGGGCUUAGGUGUGAGGAGAUGGACACACACAGUGAGAGGAAAGGAGUGCCGAUUGAUCUAUCUAUUGAGGGAACAGAGAGUGGAUGCAAUGCCUGUGGAAGCCAGUGGUGGAGCAAUUCUUCAUGUCGUGGUGAAAUCCCCCACCCCAAACCCCAUCCAUAAAACUAUUUUCAUUGCUACUUCAUAACUGUAAUUCUGCUCCAGUUAUGAAUUGUAAUGUAAAUAUCUAUGUUUUCUGAUGGUUUUAGGCAGCUAGUGUCCCCAUAGACAGAACUUCUGGAGGCGCCCUGCCCAGUGGCGUCUUCAAGGCAGAGUUUGGUUUUCAUCCUGGGUGAUCUGGUCGCCAUUCCUGUGCUGUAAGACCUGGGAGGAGCAGGCUCGGGGUGUGACCUCAUUUACAUUUCAAGAGUGCUCAGAAAUCUUAGGAAGCAAUAUUCUCAGCUGACUUAGGAGAAUUAAUUAGUUAAUAUCUGCAUGACACUUGACAAUCUUGGAGGAACAGAACUUAUUAUUAUUAUUUCCCCAUGGGAGCCCUGUAAAUGGAGGUCACAGCACCUGGGAUUCUUGCCCAAAGGAGGCAGAGAUGAGGAGUAGUCCACAGUCCCUCGCUAAAGAAACAUUUCUUUCUCUGGCCUGCUGGGAAAUCUCACUUCCAUUUUUAUAAGGCCAAAGAGGAGCUUGGAAACAGAGCCAGUUCUGACUCUGUAAUUAAUUUCAAAGAAUGUCUUUUACCUUCAUGGCUUAUAAAGAUAUUAAAAAAAAUAACUUUUGUUUAGGUAGCACCUCUCUCCAGGGAGGUUGCUCAUCAGCGAGGAGUUUGGUCCCUCGGCCCUGCCGGGAAGUAGCUAGGAAACCACACCUUUUAAAAACAUUUUUAAAAUUUCUAUUGCUUAUUCUUGGGAUUGUAUUCUAACUACAAUAUUUCAUCCUUCCCCUUUCUCCCACCAAUCCCUCCAUCUGCCCCUCUUCCUUCUCCUUCAAGUUCAUGAUCUCCUUUUUCAUCAAUUACUACUGUAGGUAUAUAUGUAUUUGUACAUUGUUUUCACUUUGAAAACAUGUGAAAAGUGAUACAAAAGGUUUCUAAUGAACCUACAUGAACCCAGCUAUCAACAGCUGUCUGCCCUCUGUCUCCUUCCUUACUCUUGCCUCCAAAUCCACAAUUUAGAUUUUUUAUGGCAUUUUAUAUGUGUAUAUUGUCUGUCUGUCCACCCGUCCAUCCAUCCAUCCGUCCGUCCGUCCGUCUGUCAUUCUGUGUCUCUCAGAUUCCCUGGAGCCAGAGUUAUAGUUACAGGCAUUGUGAGGCAUCUGACAUGGGUGCGAGGAACUAAACUCCAGUCUUGAAGAGCAGUAAGCUCUCCCUAACCAACCUCUAAAUUAUCUCCCCAUCCCCCGAUAACUUGUGUGUGCACUGAUGGUUCUCAUCCAGUUCACUUUGCCCUUUUAUCCUAAUGGCAGCCAAAGGGGAUUGUCCUUUUCCUCAAAGCCACUUACACCACGCACCAACCCACUCACAGCUGAGUCCUGUCGACAAUACUGUUUCAGAUGAGGAACCUGGAGCCAGGCUGCGUCUUGUAACAAUACUGUAUGUAAGAGGCAAGGUGGGGACUCAGACCCAGGCAACGUGGUGCCAGAAUGUGUUGCUAAAACAGCACCGGGCCUCGGGAUUAUAAAAAACUGACCAGGAGGGCUCUGUAGACUCCUUAAGUAUCCAGGGCACCACCCUGGAGGAACACUCUUUAUUACUUAUUUACGUUUUGGGCAGUAAAAGCAUUUUGCUUUUUUUUUUUUUUAAUGUGAAGUGGUGGGUGUAGGAGGUGUGUGGGUGAGAAGGAGAAAACGCCUUUUAUGGAUCGUCUGCUAAACCCUGUGAAGUCGUAGCUGUGUCUCAGUGCCAGACGGCUGUGCCUGUUGACUUAAUGGCUCUGAAAGAUGACAAGGCUUAAAAAAAAUCGACUGUCACUGCAGAACUGGGAACAGAUUGAAAUAGAGUGCUUGAGUCACCUGUUAAAGAUGCCACUCUGGGUCCCUGUCCUACAGUGUCCAGUUAGAGCCAGGGACACAUUAAAAACAUAUCAACUUUGCUUCGAUUCUGACACAGAAGUUCCCCUGUCCCCUAGGAAGAGACUGUGCGGCAGACAUUGCUUCUUGAUAAACACCCCACUUUAGGCGGCUGCUUGCUAGCUGAGGCAGGCAGCUGAGGCUCAGAAAGGUCUCUGGUUCAGCCAUCAGUAAAUAGGUUCCACACAGAACUUGUGGCAAAAGAGAGCAGCUAAAGACUUCAGUGCCUGCACGGAUUUUAUGUCCACUCUGUAUCAAAUGACCCACGACUAAGUCUCUUGGCAUACCCAGCACCCAUAGCCCCACGCAUGCUCAGCCUCCUGCCGGACAAUGUGGAAGCCCAACUUCUCACCAAGCCUUCUUGUUACUGUCCCCAGGCUUGGGGACAUUAGAUGUAAAGACAUUCUCACCAGGAAGGGCCCAAUGUCCCAAAGGGGCACGAGAUCAUGCCACAUAAAUUGCCAAAACUUGGCUGAGCCAGUCAGGCGCCAGCAGAGGCCAUGUGGGCUCCUUAAGAAUUAUUGUGUAAAGGGUGCGAUGUACGUCUAGUUUGACAAGGAGGACUUGAGGAAGGCACUGGCGGGUUUUCAGGAAUGAUGGUAGAAGGGGCCAGAAGGCAAAUGUACUGAUCCUGAUGAGGAAAGUCAGCUGACUUUGACCCCUCACCCUUAGUUACCUUGCAAAGUGACUCAGCUUCUCUAUGCUUACAUUUUACCUGCCUCUUAUGUGUAUAUAUGUGUUGUGUUGAUUGUUCCCAUUCAUGUGUUUUGUGCAUGUAUGUGCAUGUUUGUGCAGGUAGAGGGUAGAAGUUAAUGUCUUCCUUGGUUGUUCUCUGUCUAUUUUUUUCUUGAGAUAGAGUCUCUCACUGAAACUUCAGCUUACUGAUAUAGCUAGGGGUCUGGCCAGUGAGCUCCAAGGAGUUGCUUGUCUCUUCUCCAUGAUCCCUCACUGUCUCUGGGGUUCCAGACAAAUGCGGCCAUAGUUUUACUUUUACAUGUGUGCUGGAGAUUUAGAUCAGGUCUUCAAGCUUGCACAACUAUUACUUCACCACAGAACCAUCUCCCUAACUCCUAGAUUACCAUCCCUCAAUUUCUCCAUGUUAGCUAAAAUUCACUAAGCAGCGUCCACACAGUCCCAGAUUCUUGCAGUUUAGACUGAGCUAACCCAGGAGGCCAAUGGCAAACUGAAGCUCUGGUGAUGACUCAGUUGGCAAAGUGCUUGUCCCCAAAGCAUGGGGACCUGAACUGGAUCCCUAGAACCCACAUGAAAAGCAUGUUGUAAGUUCCCACAACCCCAGUCCUGCAGCAUGCUGGCCAGCUGCAUGGGUGAGUUAAUGAGCUCUAGGUUCUGAGAGACCCUGUUGCAAAAAUUAAGGUUAAGGGCAGUUGAGGACAGCAUUUAGUGUUGACCUCUGGCCUCCUUGACAUACAAAUGCUUUCAUGCUCUCUCUCUAUUUCUGUCUCUGUCUCUGCCUGUCUCUGUCUCUCUGUCUCUCUCACACACAUUUUCAACUGGAAGAUAGUGAGAUGAAUGUAUAUGGGACUGUGGGAUGGUAUGGCGAGGAAAUGCUAGGAACUGUGGACGAUGAAGGAAUAGGUCAACUGCCUUCUCUGAUGUAUCAAAGGGUUCUUGACUUCCCUUGUGGAUAGAAUUGAGCAGAAGGAAAAGCAUUCCACUCCCACAGUGUGUACAAGGGCUGAUGGCUGUUUGCUUUUACAGGUUAGGAAGGUCACAUAUGCUGGAUGGAUGGCAAUGGAAGUAAGCUAAGAGAGUUGAGGGGCAUCUUGACUGGUAGGUAGGUGGGGACUCAGUGAGAUGAGGGGAAGCUCUGAGAGCAUCGUCCUACAAUACAAAGAGGGAAGUGAGCCAGGAGCACUGCUGAAGUUCAUCCCCAGUCAUCUGAACACCCUAUCCUCAACUGUGUGGCACUGGCCUUGCAGGCAAGGUGCCAAGGACACAGGUCUCCACCAGUGAUAGUCAAUGGGGACCUGCCAUAAGACAAUGAAGGACAAAGUCAAAAUGGAUAUCACAAAAUGCGAGCCUGCCUGUUCCAUGCCAAGGGACGACA